UACGUAGGGUGCAAGCGUUGUCCGGAAUUAUUGGGCGUAAAGGGCGCGUAGGCGGGAUGGCAAGUCGGUCGUGAAAUCCUUCGGCUCAACCGAAGAACGUCGGCCGAUACUGCCGUUCUUGAGGGAUGCAGAGGAGAUUGGAAUUCCCGGUGUAGCGGUGAAAUGUGUAGAGAUCGGGAGGAACACCGGUGGCGAAGGCGGGUCUCUGGGCAUCUCCUGACGCUGAGGCGCGAAAGCGUGGGGAGCAAACGGG
rnacentral:rRNA from 1 species